rnacentral:rRNA from 1 species
UACGGAAUGUGCAAGCGUUAUUCGGAAUCACUGGGCUUAAAGAGUCCGUAGGCGGCAUGUUAGGCGAGGUGUGAAAUCCCCCGGCUCAACCGAGGAAUUGCGCUUCAAACCGGCGUGCUCGAGGAAGAUAGAGGUGGGCGGAACUGAUGGUGGAGCGGUGAAAUGCGUUGAUAUCAUCAGGAACACCGGAGGCGAAGGCGGCCCACUGGGUCUUUUCUGACGCUGAGGGACGAAAGCCAGGGGAGCGAACGGG